rnacentral:misc_RNA from 1 species
AACACUCAUCUCGCAUGGACCUGCGGAUAGCCCCGGUCGUCAGUGAAACCUCUCCGCGCCUCUGCGGUGAAAUCACUCUUCCCGCAGCCGAACGACGACGACCUCCUUCUUCGCCCGGUCGAUCCCGUAGAGCGUGCCGGGGUCGGUCCGGUCCCAGACGAAGGCCUGGCCGGUGAGAGGGCAGGGGAUCGUUUCGAGGUAGUCGAGCGUCGCGCCGG